UACGUAGGUGGCAAGCGUUAUCCGGAAUUAUUGGGCGUAAAGCGCGCGCAGGUGGUUUCUUAAGUCUGAUGUGAAAGCCCACGGCUCAACCGUGGAAGGUCAUUGGAAACUGGGAGACUUGAGUGCAGAAGAGGAAUGUGGAAUUCCAUGUGUAGCGGUGAAAUGCGUAGAGAUAUGGAGGAACACCAGUGGCGAAGGCGACUUUCUGGUCUGUAACUGACACUGAGGCGCGAAAGCGUGGGGAGCAAACAGG
rnacentral:rRNA from 1 species